AUUGAACGCUGGCGGCAUGCCUUACACAUGCAAGUCGAACGGCAGCACGGGAGCAAUCCUGGUGGCGAGUGGCGAACGGGUGAGUAAUAUAUCGGAACGUGCCCAGUCGUGGGGGAUAACGUAGCGAAAGCUACGCUAAUACCGCAUACGAUCUAUGGAUGAAAGCGGGGGAUCGCAAGACCUCGCGCGAUUGGAGCGGCCGAUAUCAGAUUAGGUAGUUGGUGAGGUAAAGGCUCACCAAGCCGACGAUCUGUAGCUGGUCUGAGAGGACGACCAGCCACACUGGGACUGAGACACGGCCCAGACUCCUACGGGAGGCAGCAGUGGGGAAUUUUGGACAAUGGGCGCAAGCCUGAUCCAGCAAUGCCGCGUGCAGGAUGAAGGCCUUCGGGUUGUAAACUGCUUUUGUACGGAACGAAACGGUGAGCUCUAAUACAGUUUGCUAAUGACGGUACCGUAAGAAUAAGCACCGGCUAACUACGUGCCAGCCGCCGCAGUAACAC
rnacentral:rRNA from 1 species